rnacentral:rRNA from 1 species
GGGUUGUGAGGUUAAGCGACUAAGCGUACACGGUGGAUGCCCAGGCAGUCAGAGGCGAUGAAGGACGUGCUAAUCUG